rnacentral:sRNA from 1 species
GGCUCUGUCCUCCUGGACAUGCCGAAAGGCCGUUGCUGGGGACCGUCUCCCCAAGGCAGCCCCUUACUAAGCCUGGUCCCCAGCAUC